CCUACGGGAGGCAGCAGUGGGGAAUAUUGGACAAUGGGGGGAACCCUGAUCCAGCCAUGCCGCGUGUGUGAAGAAGGCCCUCGGGUUGUAAAGCACUUUCAGUGAGGAAGAACGCCUGGUGGUUAAUACCCAUCAGGAAAGACAUCACUCACAGAAGAAGCACCGGCUAACUCCGUGCCAGCAGCCGCGGUAAUACGGAGGGUGCGAGCGUUAAUCGGAAUUACUGGGCGUAAAGCGCGCGUAGGUGGCUUGAUAAGCCGGUUGUGAAAGCCCCGGGCUCAACCUGGGAACGGCAUCCGGAACUGUCGAGCUAGAGUGCAGGAGAGGAAGGUAGAAUUCCCGGUGUAGCGGUGAAAUGCGUAGAGAUCGGGAGGAAUACCAGUGGCGAAGGCGGCCUUCUGGACUGACACUGACACUGAGGUGCGAAAGCGUGGGUAGCAAACAGGAUUAGAUACCCUAGUAGUC
rnacentral:rRNA from 1 species